UAGGGAAUCUUGCGCAAUGGGCGAAAGCCUGAUGCAGCGACGCCGCGUGAGGGAUGAAGGCUUUAGAGUUGUAAACCUCUUUUCUUAGGGAAGAGCAAGGACGGUACCUAAGGAAUAAGUCACGGCUAACUACGUGCCAGCAGCCGCGGUAAUACGUAGGUGGCAAACGUUAUUCGGAAUUAUUGGGCGUAAAGGGUCCGUAGGCGGCUCAACUAGUCUCAUGUGAAAUCUCUUGGCUUAACCAAGAAAAGUCAUGAGAAACUGUUGGGCUAGAGAUCAUUAGAGGGAGAUGGAAUUCCAGGUGUAGUGGUGAAAUGCGUAGAUAUCUGGAGGAACACCAAUGGCGAAAGCAGUCUCCUAGGAUGUUUCUGACGCUCAGGGACGAAAGCGUGGGUAGCAAACCGG
rnacentral:rRNA from 1 species